AUACUUACCUGGCAGGGGAGAUACCAUGAUCAUGAAGGUGGUUUUCCCAGGAUGAGGCUCACCCAUUGCACUGGGGGUGUGCUGACGCCUGCGAUUUCUCCAAAUGGGAGAAACUCGACUGCAUAAUUUGUGGUAGUGGGGGACUGUGUGCGCGCUUCCCCCCC
rnacentral:snRNA from 1 species